CGAAUGACUCUCGGCAAUGGAUAUCUCGGCUCUUGCAUCGAUGAAGAACGUAGUGAAAUGCGAUACUUGGUGUGAAUUGCAGAAUCUCGUGAACCAUUGAGUCUUUGAACGCAAGUUGUGCCCGAGGCCUUGUGGCCGAGGGCACGCCUGCUUGGGCGUCAUGG
rnacentral:rRNA from 1 species